rnacentral:rRNA from 1 species
GAUGAACGCUAGCGGCAGGCUUAAUACAUGCAAGUCGAGGGGCAGCAUGACUGUAGCAAUACAGUUGAUGGCGACCGGCAAACGGGUGCGGAACACGUACAGAACCUUCCUUCGAGCGGGGAAUAGCCCAGAGAAAUUUGGAUUAAUACCCCAUAGUACAACGGAGUGGCAUCACUUUGUUGUUAAAGAUUUAUCACUUGAAGAUGGCUGUGCGGCUGAUUAGGUAGUUGGCGGGGUAACGGCCCACCAAGCCUGCGAUCAGUAACUGGUGUGAGAUCACGACCAGUCACACGGGCACUGCGACACGGGCCCGACUCCUACGGGAGGCAGCAGUAAGGAAUAUUGGUCAAUGGACGAAAGUCUGAACCAGCCAUGCCGCGUGGAGGAUGAAGGUCCUCUGGAUUGUAAACUUCUUUUAUAUGGGACGAAAAAAGGGUUUUCUAGCUCGUCUGACGGUACCAUAUGAAUAAGCACCGGCUAACUCCGUGCCAGCAGCCGCAGUAAAAC